GACGAACGCUGGCGGCGUGCUUAACACAUGCAAGUCGAACGGAAAGGCCCGGCUUUUGUUUGUUUCUCGUUUGGCGAACGGGUGAGUAACACGUGAGUAACCUGCCCUUGUCUUUGUGAUAACUUCAGGAAACUGGGGCUAAUACCGGAUAGGAUCUCCUGCUGCAUGGUGGGGGUUGGAAAGUUUCGGCGUUGGUGGAUGGACUCGCUGCUUAUUCGCUUGUUUGUGUGGUAGUUGCUGACCAAGGCUUUGACGGGUAGGCCGCCUGAGAGGGUGACCGGCCUCAUUGGGCCUGCGGUACGGCGCAGUAUCGUAUGGGAGGCAGUAGUGGGGAACAUUGCGCAGCGGGCGGACGUGUGAUGCAGAAACGCUGGGUGCGUGAUGACGGCCUAUGGGUUGUAAACAGAUUUCGAAUGUGCCGAAGAGUGAGUGACGGUAAUGGGUCAAGAAGCCCCGGCUAACUACGUG
rnacentral:rRNA from 1 species